rnacentral:rRNA from 1 species
GAUGAACGCUGGCGGCGUGCCUAAUACAUGCAAGUCGAGCGAACAGAUAAGGAGCUUGCUCCUUUGACGUUAGCGGCGGACGGGUGAGUAACACGUGGGUAACCUACCUAUAAGACUGGGAUAACUUCGGGAAACCGGAGCUAAUACCGGAUAACAUUUGGAUCCGCAUGGUUCUAAAGUGAAAGAUGGUUUUGCUAUCACUUAUAGAUGGACCCGCGCCGUAUUAGCUAGUUGGUAAGGUAACGGCUUACCAAGGCGACGAUACGUAGCCGACCUGAGAGGGUGAUCGGCCACACUGGAACUGAGACACGGUCCAGACUCCUACGGGAGGCAGCAGUAGGGAAUCUUCCGCAAUAGGCGAAAGCCUGACGGAGCAACGCCGCGUGAGUGAUGAAGGGUUUCGGCUCGUAAAACUCUGUUAUUAGGGAAGAACAAAUGUGUAAGUAACUGUGCACGUCUUGACGGUACCUAAUCAGAAAGCCACGGCUAACUACGUG